UGGUGUCACAUAAGGCCAGCUAGCCCAUCUAUACAUUGGAUUUCCUGCUCUGAAGGAGUUUGGGAUCUCUCAUCACUUCUGCAGACAAGGUUUUACCUGAAGAACCUACCACUCGGAAAUGCCUGUGAGCUUUUAAGCACUGCUAUUGGUUUGGCUUUCUGCCUGGAUCAAAAGCGAGAACUGUAUUUGCCUUUGAGAAAAGGAUUUGUGACCAGACUUUUGUUUUCCAGUGCUGUUUUACAGAAAUCUGCAACCACAUACUACCCAGAUGUGUUUGUUAUAUGAGGAUAGAAAUAUUUCAUGCCCUUUUGGAGCAAAAGUGGCUUCAGAAUUAAUGGUGAUCCACUCAGCAUCACUGACCAUACAUAGCCUCAGAAAUGCUUGACUGUUCAGUGGGCACACGGCAAUGAGGAAGAAUGAGACCCACAAGAUGUCCAUGGAUAUUGAAAUCCAACAAGAAUCAUUGGAUAAUAAAGUCCAUUUUCCUCCAAUGGGAAAAACUCUGGUGGUAUUUAAAAUAGUUCCUGGGAUGCCUGGCU